GUUCUUUCUUAGAAAUAUUUUGUUAAUUCAGAGGAAACCCAUUUCAACUGUCACUUCAAUUCAAACAUCAUUGCUCUUUGGGAUUUCCACUUCUUGUCUGUUAAAAACUAUUUGGUGCCUCAUUUUGUGGAUUUACUUUGCAAACCCACACGUCUGACUCGUGCAGCAAGGAGCAGCUGCAGCUGAUGCAGUUGCUACUGAAGACAGUCCGCAGGGCAGUCCUGGACCUGGGAGCUGGUGGACACGCUUCUGGGGAGCCCUGGCCCGGCCCCUUCUUGUCUCCUCACGUCAUGGAGGAAGCAGCGGAGAAGGUCAGUCCUGGUAAAAUAGUCCUUGUCUCGCCUCUGUAGGGAGCGUCUGAGCACCUCUCACAGGCCAUCAUAACCGCUGUAGAUGCUUGCUGUCAUAUGAGCCUUAGUCUUUCACAGUGAACACAAACAGCUUUUUCAUAUGGUGCCUGGGAGGCGUGCUGUAUCACAUGUCCCUCUUCACGUGUGCACACAGGUGGCUCUCACACCUCCUGCUGUUUGGAGCUCAGACGUCUCUCCCCAUCAUGGUUCUGCAUCUUGAGGUAAUUGCACCAGGCUGAGAAGUGCCCGGACUGGAGCAUCUCCAUUGCGAUAAUUCCACAAUGCAAGAUUUCACCAGGAGUCUCAGGCAGGAGAGAGCCCUGUCUCCCUGUGUCUGGAGCAUGGCCCUCCCAUGUAGAUGGGGACCGAGAAGAGUUUGCUGCCCUCCCCUGGUAGUGGAGACCACUUCUGGGUUGAAGGUCGCUUAUAUUAGAGACAAUUUUCUUCAUUUGUCACUGCAUUCAUCUCCAUAUCUGGAAACUGAAAAAAUUCACAAUGGCGGAACACCACAAGUUAUGUUACUGUUUACAUAUUAAUUUUGUCAUUUUCAAUCAAAAAUGUUGAAAAGCGAAAUUAAACUUAAUAAAAUAAAUUGAAA
rnacentral:lncRNA from 1 species